AAAAAAAAAAAAAGAAAGUCUUUCUCCGAGUUGAGAGAAGACUGAAUGAUUUUAAGCUUCAGUAUUUGCACUCUUCAGUGUGUGGGUAUCAAUAGGAACAUAACUAUUUGUAGGUAUUGUGAGUAAAUUGUUCUGAUUUAUGUGAAAGAUUACUUUUGGGGACUAAAGGAGUUCAUAGACUAGAGGAACAGAGUAGGGUGAGAUUGUGCAGGCCUUAAAAAUUGAGCCGAGAAGCUUAUAUUUAAUGCUAUAGGUCAAAUACUUGUAAAGCAAUGGAACCCAUUCUUUCAGCCUAAUUUUAUUCUGAAGUACACAGUGUAGAACAGUCAGACCAGAACUUUUGCCAUUAAAAUAGGUGCAUGGUGAGCCUCCCAUCUUCCCCCCUUGGCAGGCCCAAAGAGGACACCACAGAUCUGAUGUUCAGAGGUGCUUAGUUUGAAAAAUUGCCAUUUGUAGGCUCUUGGACAGGGGAGUAGAAUGAGUAGAGUAAUAUUUGACAAGAGUUUAGUGGAAUGAGAUUUUCUAAGAUGACGUGGAGACUAAGAAGCUGGAGGCUGGGGAGACUGGAAAUUUUCUAUUGUGCUAAUCCAAGCUUGAGGUGAUGAAGACUACACAGUCCAAAUUUUCUAUUGCUGCUGUAAAAAAAUUACCACAGCCUUGAUGGCUUAAACAAUACAAACUUCUUACCUUGCAGUUCUUUAGGUCAGAAGUCCGACAUGGGUAUCACUGGACUAAAAUUAAGAUGUUGGUAAGGCCGCCCUCCCUUCUAGAGGCUCUGAGGGAGAAUCCAUUUUCUUGCUUUUCCCAGCUGCUGGGCUGCCUGCAUUCCAUGCUUUGUGACCUCCUUCUUCCGUCUUCCUCGCCAACGCAGCAAGUUGAAUUCUUCUCAUGCUGCCACUGCCACCUCUCUGGUUCUAUGUCCACAGCUGAGAAAGUUUCUUCUCUUUCAAGACUCAUGUGAUUAGAGUGGCCCCACCCAGAUUAUCCAGGAUAAUCUCCCCAUCUCAAGGACAAAAAAGCAGUUGUAAAUGUUCAAAAAAAAGAAAAAGAAGUCAGGAAGGUGAGAGUUCAUUAUUUUUGUGCCUAUAGGCAUAGGCUAGCUGAAACUGAGUAUUAAGGAAAUCAUGUAGAAAAUUCAAGUCUCUGCAUUUUCUUUUAGUAAAUUGUAAUAAUUGGACUAUCCCUAACACACCUUUGUUUGUUCCCUCCAGGCCCACUCUCUGUCCCUUUACAGUUUGUUCGCUGUCCAGGCAGCUGACCUGUAUGGGCAUCACCAACGAGCUCCUUUGUCUUGUGGCUUCAAUGUGGGUUAAGACAAUGGAGAGCCCCAGCAGGAGACCAGAGGGAGAAGGGCGGGAAAGGUCAGGUGGGCGUUAAACCUCUACUGAACGCCACUGCUCUUGUCAAGUUGCCUUGUCUUCCAAGCUCUAGAAAUGAUGCUCUCCCCUUUUCUCUUCGGACCUGGCAAAGGGAAGAGCAUCACAUUAUUCCCAGCUUGUAGGUACUGGACUCUCCCUUGUGGUUUUGGGCUUCCAUUUCUUGCCCACAUCUUUAUGAAUAGUCCCUUUAGUAAACCCUCCUCAAGUUAUCCUAAUUUGACUGUGUUCUCUGUUUCCUACUGUGACCCACACAAAGACAGAAUCUGGUUCAUCCAGCCCUACUAAUUCUGUAUCUAAACAAAUCUGAAUUAUUCUCCCAUUCUGAGGCCACCAUCAUUUCUUACCAGGACUGGUUUUUUGUUUUGUUUUGUUUUUGUUUUUGUUUUUGUUUUGAGAUGGAGUUCUUGUUCGGUCGCCAGGCUGGAGUGCAGUGACGCAAUCUUGGCUUACUGCAACCUCCGCCUCCCAGGUUCAAGCCAUUCUCUUGCUUCAGCCUCCCGAGUAGCUGGGACUACAGGCAUGCAACACCACACCUGGCUAAUUUUUGUAUUUUUAGUAGAGAUGGGGUUUCACCAUGUUGUCCAGGAUGGGUUCUAUCUCCUGUCCUCGUGAUCUGCCCACCUCGGCCUCCCAAAGUGCUGGGAUUACAGGCGUAAGCCACCACACCCAGCUACCGGGACUGUUAACUAACCUCCCUGCUUUCACCAUUUAUGGCUUAAAAUCUUCUAAAGGUUUCCCAUCACACAUAUAAUAAAUCCCCAAUUCCCUGUCAUGGCCCAAGGCCCUGCAUGAUCAGACUGUUAUUGUUCAACUUUCUCUUGAGUCACACUCAUUUCCUAGGUUCCAGAAUAUCUCAAGUCCUCUCUUGCCUGGGGGCUUUUGCCCGUAGUGUUCAUUCUGCCUGGCCUGUUCUACUCACUGUUCUUCACAUGGGUAGCACCAUCAAAGACAAAAACUGAAUAAGUAAGGAGAUUGAUUUUAUUUUGGCUAUUGCAAUAGGGAAAACACCCCAGAUUUGAAGAUUAGAGUAUGUAUUUAUUUUCUAUUACUGCUGUAAAAAAUUUUCACAAAAUUAGUGACUUAAAACAAUAGAAAUUGAUUCCCUUACAGUUCUGGAGGCUAGAAUUCCAAAAUGAGUCUUCCGUGCCAAAAAUCAAGGUGUCUCUGGUGCCACAUUGCCUCUGGAGAGAUGCAGAUUCUCUAAGGGAGAAUCUGUUUUCUUGCUUUUUCCCAUGUCUAGAGCUGCAUUCCUUGGCUCAUGGCCCCUUUAUCUUCAAAACCGGCAGUGUAGCAUCUUCUGUCUGACCCUGCUUCCAUCACAUGAUUUUCUGCUUAUAGUCAAAUGUCCCUCAGCUUCCCCCUUACAAAGAUACUUGUGCUUAUGCAUGUGGUGCUUAAUACCUAGGUGAUGGGUGGAUAGGUGCAGUAAACCAUCAUGGCAUGUGUUUACUUAUGUAACAAACCUGCACAUCCUGUACAUGUAUCCCAGAAUUUAAAAUAAAAUAAAGUAAAAUAAAAUUUAAAUUUAAAAAAAUACUUGUGCUUUUAUUUA